rnacentral:rRNA from 1 species
GGAGCGGCGGACGGGUUAGUAACGCGUGGGAAUAUACCCUUCACUAUGGAAUAGCCUCGGGAAACUGAGAGUAAUACCAUAUACGCCCUUCGGGGGAAAGAUUUAUCGGUGAAGGAUUAGCCCGCGUAAGAUUAGAUAGUUGGUGGGGUAAUGGCCUACCAAGUCUACGAUCUUUAGCUGGUUUUAGAGGAUGAUCAGCAACACUGGGACUGAGACACGGCCCAGACUCCUACGGGAGGCAGCAGUGGGGAAUCUUAGACAAUGGGCGAAAGCCUGAUCUAGCCAUGCCGCGUGAGUGAUGAAGGUCUUAGGAUCGUAAAGCUCUUUCGCUAGGGAUGAUAAUGACAGUACCUAGUAAAGAAGCCCCGGCUAACUCCGUGCCAGCAGCCGCGGUAAUACGGAGGGGGCUAGCGUUGUUCGGAAUUACUGGGCGUAAAGCGUACGUAGGCGGAUCAGAAAGUAUGGGGUGAAAUCCCAGGGCUUAACCCUGGAACUGCCUCAUAAACUCCUGGUCUUGAGUUCGAGAGAGGUGAGUGGAAUUCCAAGUGUAGAGGUGAAAUUCGUAGAUAUUUGGAGGAACACCAGUGGCGAAGGCGGCUCACUGGCUCGAUACUGACGCUGAGGUACGAAAGUGUGGGGAGCAAACAGGAUUAGAUACCCUGGUAGUCCACACCGUAAACGAUGAAUGCCAGUCGUCGGG